rnacentral:rRNA from 1 species
UACGAAGGGAGCUAGCGUUGUUCGGAAUCACUGGGCGUAAAGCGCACGUAGGCGGAUGUGUCAGUCAGGGGUGAAAUCCCGGAGCUCAACUUCGGAACUCCCUUUGAUACAGCACGUCUUGAGUCCGAUAGAGGUGGGUGGAAUUCCUAGUGUAGAGGUGAAAUUCGUAGAUAUUAGGAAGAACACCGGUGGCGAAGGCGGCCCACUGGAUCGGUACUGACGCUGAGGUGCGAAAGCGUGGGGAGCAAACAGG